UUGUGUGUGUAUAUAUAUAUAUAAAUAUGUCGAGAUAAAUAUAGCGACGUUUUAAUAUAGUGUCGAAACAUUUUUAACAGCGUUCGACAAAAAUAUGCUUAUUAGCGACGCUUAAUCAUAGUGUUGAUACAUGUCAAAUAUUGAAGAUGCUAAAAUAGAGUGUCGUGUAAAAGAUAUCGUCUGAAAUAUAUUUUAUUGUAGUGAGUAAAUAUAUAUGUAAAAGGAAAAGGUUUAUUUCAACAUAUUAAUACUGA
rnacentral:lncRNA from 1 species